CCUACGGGCGGCAUCAGUGGGGAAUAUUGCGCAAUGGGCGAAAGCCUGACGCAGCGACGCCGCGUGAGGGAUGAAGGUCUUCGGAUCGUAAACCUCUGUCAGCAGGGAAGAACGGUCACUGUGCUAAUCAGCAGUGAAUUGACGGUACCUGCAAAGGACGCACAGGCUAACUCCGUGCCAGCAGCCGCGGUAAUACGGAGGGUGCGAGCGUUAAUCGGAAUUACUGGGCGUAAAGCGCUCGUAGGCGGUAUGUCAAGUCAAGGGUGAAAUCCCCGCGCUCAACGUGGGAACUGCCUUUGAAACUGGCAAACUUGAGUGUGUGAGAGGAUAGUGGAAUUCCAGGUGUAGGGGUGAAAUCCGUAGAUAUCUGGAGGAACAUCAGUGGCGAAGGCGACUAUCUGGCACAUAACUGACGCUGAGGAGCGAAAGCGUGGGUAGCAAACAGGAUUAGAUACCCUAGUAGUC
rnacentral:rRNA from 1 species